UACGGAGGGGGCUAGCGUUGUUCGGAAUUACUGGGCGUAAAGCGCACGUAGGCGGCUUUGUAAGUUAGAGGUGAAAGCCCGGGGCUCAACCCCGGAAUUGCCUUUAAGACUGCAUCGCUUGAACGUCGGAGAGGUGAGUGGAAUUCCGAGUGUAGAGGUGAAAUUCGUAGAUAUUCGGAAGAACACCAGUGGCGAAGGCGGCUCACCGGACCGGUAUUGACGCUGAGGUGCGAAAGCGUGGGGAGCAAACAGG
rnacentral:rRNA from 1 species